rnacentral:rRNA from 1 species
AGGUAUAGGUUUGCCUGCCGAAGCCCUUAGCCAGCGACUCUAAACAACUUUGCUACAGUCGCCCCUUUUGGGGCUGGCGACGCCAUCAAUCUGUGUCUGGAAGUUCCCUCUAGGGGGGAAUACUACCAGCAGCUCGUCACAUUCGAGUUCACAGGUCAAACGAUUGCGGCCAUUUCGGUGGUUAAGAUAUGAUCGGCCGCCAGCUGUCAUCUAGCUGGCGAGAUUUGCGGAACCUGCGGAAGGAUCAUUA